rnacentral:snoRNA from 1 species
UUCCACUGAUGAUUUUUUGUUAGUGCCACGUGUCUGGGCCACUGAGACCACGUGAUGGAACUGAGGAUCUGAGGAA